AUACGAAGGGGGCAAGCGUUGUUCGGAAUUACUGGGCGUAAAGCGUGCGUAGGCUGUUUUGAAAGUUAGGCGUGAAAUCCCUGGGCUCAACCCAGGAACUGCGCUUAAAACUUCAAGACUAGAAUCCGAGAGAGGUUAGCGGAAUUCCAAGUGUAGAGGUGAAAUUCGUAGAUAUUUGGAGGAACACCAGUGGCGUAGGCGGCUAACUGGCUCGGUACUGACGCUGAGGCGCGAAAGCGUGGGGAGCAAACAGGAUUAGAAACCCGAGUAGUCC
rnacentral:rRNA from 1 species